rnacentral:rRNA from 1 species
UACGGGGGGGGUAAGCGUUGUUCGGAAUUACUGGGCGUAAAGGGCUCGUAGGCGGCCAACUAAGUCAGACGUGAAAUCCCUCAGCUUAACUGGGGAACUGCGUCUGAUACUGGAUGGCUUGGAUUUGGGAGAGGGAUGCGGAAUUCCAGGUGUAGCGGUGAAAUGCGUAGAUAUCGGGAGGAACACCGGUGGCGAAGGCGGUUCUCUGGGCCUUACCUGACGCUGAGGAGCGAAAGCGUGGGGAGCGAACAGG